rnacentral:lncRNA from 1 species
CGGUGCCGCAGUGAGUUGGGUGGCGGUGAUUUGUUCGCGGGCGCAGGCUGGGAGGCGGGGUUCCUGACUCACUGCGGCACUGGCAGGGCUGGUGACAGCACCACCCCCGCGCCGCCUGCAAUCUGCCACCGCUGCCACCGAGCCGAGGGGCGCCAGCAAGGCAUCCCCUGGGUCAAGGGGCCUCCCGUGGGCUUUCCAAACAGCCUGUGCUCAUUUCCGCGGGAGCCCUCGGGGCGCUGUGCUGUGGCUGCAUUGUCACUGUUUGUUUAUUUCUACAUCUGCUCUGUUAGAAGAUAGGCUCGCUUAGGACAGAGCCUUCUAAUCCACCCCCUGAUGAAUUCGGGCCCUCGCCUUUGGCACAAUGCCUGGCGUCAUCACAACGCGGGUGAUCAGUAAACGGCAGCGAAGGAAGCGGGGUCAGGACUGGAGAGGAGAGGGGGAGGAAGACAGACGACCGGAGAGGAACAAAAAUGGAAGGUAACUUGAGCUUUCAUAACUGCAGAAGUGCAAAACAGCUCCCUGUGUGAUAUAGGAAGUAAAACCGUAGAGAUGGGACUUGGCUGGCCUGCCCUUCACACACUUUAGACAUUAACCCAAAGUUCAUGCUCCUGCCAUGACAGUGAUGGUGGACAGGAGGGAAGAAAAUGACAAGGAGGAAAGGAGGUGUCUUUUGCUCUUAAAAAUGAGAAGGGUCAUAAACAAUCCAUCGGCUGCAAACCACGAGUUGCCCCCAAAGCAAAGCAGGUUAGUGGCUGCUGCCGCCUCAUCAUAGCUUCAGAACCCACAGAGCCUGGAGGACUGUCAAACAUUAUCUAAUAUCCCAUUCUACAGAAGAGAAAACUGAGGUUGAGGCAGGAACGCAGACAGGAAUCAAGGUUUUGGGGUUGGGAUUUGCAAUCCAUUACUUUGCCUCCUGCAUCCACUGCUUUUCCCUGGGCAUUCUCUUCUUCCGGUUUCUUGGAAGUUAAAAUUGCGAGAGAAGCAACACAGAGUGGUUUUCCCAGGGCCUCGACCUCGGUAAGGGAAGACGUGGAAUUCCGAGUGUGGAGACCCAGACAGCCUCCGAAACCCCCACGCAACCCUGGGCGUUCAGCAGCUGCCAAUGCCCGCCUGACAAGUUUCUGGGGCAUCUCUGCACACGGAGAGGUGUGUCUCCUGCAGCUCCAAAAACAGAUUUUGCCAUCUCAUCCCCAUAUUUGCAGUCUCCAGUUGGCUUCUUGUGAUUGGCCAGAACUUUUCCUCACUGGAGAGAUGAGGAGAAUCCAGUCCUCCAACCAGCUGAGAGAAAACACUGCAGUAGCAGAGAUAGCAAUGGCUGUUCCACCCCACACUGAUACGAUGUCAGGGAGCCAGGGGUGGGCUCAACAGGCUGAAUGAUGCCAGGGACUCCCAAGGGUCUAUACAUUUAACCCUGGAGGAAGUGGCCUCUGACCAGAACAAGUAAGAAUGGACAGAGGAAUACCAUGUGCUGACUGACGAACGCCUGGGUUUCUGAACCAAUUGCCAUCAAGGGGAUUGGGAUUACCAUAAUUUUUGCUGAGACUAAGCCCCACCCCAGUAACCAAAGGCUUAUGGGUGGAAUGCAAGCUAUUGGAAGUAUUUGAAGAUGUGACCAAGGAAGCUAUGAGAAUUGGAAAUGAGGCAGUUGUUUAGAAACGGGCUGAUGUGCUUGUGGUAAGGUGGAAGGAGGAAGGCAGAUGAGGAAAGGAAUGUGCAACUGAAGCAAUUAGCUGUUACUAUGUAACGAACCAUCCCAAAACGUAGUGACAUAAAACAACAACCAUUUGUUAUUUCUCAUGCGCUUACAUUUCUACUAGGAAGUUCUGCAAAUCUGGAUUGGUCUUGGCUGAUCUUGGCAGGGCUUGUUCUGGCAUCCACUCUCAGCUGCUGAAUUAGCUCUCAGUUCCUGGUUCAGGGUGGCCUUGGCUUGGAUGACUUGGCUCUGCUCCAUGUAUCUUUCACAUCCUUCCAGCAGGCCAGCUCAAGCCUGUUCUCUAGAUUGUGGCAAGGAUCCAAGGGAAAGAGAGAAAGCCAAAAUGUUCAUGCCCUUUUUUGAGCCACUUUUUUCAAUGAGUUGGCUACUGUCUCCCUAGCUAAACACAUCUCAGCCAAGCCCAGAACCAGUAUGGAAGGUCACUAACCAAAGCUGUGGGUAAAUGGAGGCAUGGAAAUCUGUGACCUUUAAUGCAAUCAUCUACAAUAACAAGCCAAUGACCAUGAAGCUGGACAGAGAAAUAGAUUCCUGGGAGGAAGAAUAGCAAAAUGUCUGGAGUAAGAGGAAGUAGGGUAUUUCAGGGAACUCAGCAAACAGUGUGAUGACAAAAUGAAAGCACAGUCAUGCAAUCAGCACCUGGGUAAAUAUUUAGGUUGGAGUCUGUGUUGACCCAGUCUGCAGGUAACCCUCAGCCUGGCCCAGCAUUUCACUGCCCUCCUACUACUUACCCAGAAACAACUCUCCUGUAUUGAUUAAGCAGGAAAGAGGAAACUCUCCUGGAAGACACAAGGGCAGAUCCAAGCAGGAGCUAAGGUUUUCCAGAAUGUGGUCUUAGGUCUGUGAAUGGCUUUUGGACAGAGGCACAGCUGAACAUUCCCAUGGUUUCUGUGACUUUAGAAUCACUACCACCUCUUGACUAUGCACCUCUUGACUAAUUUCUAUUUCUCAAAUUAUAGAAUAAAAAAUGCUGAUUCUAAGGAUAAAAACACAACAAAUAAUCCAAAAGUAUAUAAGAUGAAAAAUAAUAGUGUGAGUUCUAUUCCAUUCUCCAGAGAGUAACAACUGCUCUCAAUUUGGGCACUUCCUUUCUGUCUUCUUCCUGCACAUGUACUUUUUGCAUAUGUCCUUUGCACGUUCUUAACCAUACUUGGGUAAUGAUGCCAACAUCACAAGCAUAACUUUCUGACAGCCCAGAAAGCCAACCUUGUCUUCUUCCUUGUUCAACCCUUGUGCCAUUUUGCCCUAACCAGAAAAAUACUCCACUUGGUAAUGAUUCUCUCUCUGUGUCUGUGAAAAAUAACAUUGGAAAGUCUAAUGUGGAAAUGUUGAACCAGGCUGGGCAUGAUGGUUCAUUCCUGUAAUCCCAGGACUUUGAAAGACCAAGGUGGAAGGAUGGCUUGAGCCCAGGAGUUCAAUACCAGCCUGGGUAACAUAGUAAGACUCCCAUCUCUACAAAAAAUUAAAAUUAACCAGGCAUGGUGGCAUAUGCCUGUAGUCCUAGCUACUCAGGAGGCUGAGGUGGGAGGAUGGCUUGAACCAGGAGGUCGAGGCAGCAAUGAGCCAUGAUUGUGCCACUGCAUUCCAGCCUGGGUGACAGAGUGACAGCCUGUCUCAAAAAAGAAAAGAAAAGAUACAAAAGAAAUAUUGAAUCAAAAAAUAUAGGUAAAAGUGAAACAAAAGGAAAUUUAAAAAUAAAUAUGUAUCAAUAGAUAAAAAAUGGUAAAAUGAACAAGAUGUGGAAAAUGUUGUAGUCUCUACAUCUGGCCUAAUAUUUAAUCUAAGAAUCUAAUGCAAAUUUCUUACAUCAUGAAUAAAUAUGGAUGAUGGGCCUACAGAUCAGAUACAUUUUAAUAAUGAGCAGACUAAGUGAGGCCUCAUACCUCUCAUCUCCAUGUGUAACCUAAUUAAUCGGGCCAUUUCAGUUGCAGAACACUCACUUCCAUAACUGUCUUCUACUUCAGAAGUGUGUGUUUCAGUUAGAAUUUGAUUUGGGUGCAGAUGCCUAUGAUAGACAAUGCAAACAGUGACUUAAAGAAAUAAAAGUUUAUAUUCCUCUCACAUAAAAAAAAUUUAAAUUUAAAUAGUGCAGGGCAGAUUUAGCACUCCACGGUGCCAAGAAUAUGAGCUUCUUUUAUUUUGUUGCUCUUGGCCUUCACUUUAUGGCUCAAAAUGGCUGCUGAAACUCCAGACAUCAAACCUGCAUUCCAGCCUGCACAGUAGAGGAAGGAAGUAAAGAAGGGUAAAGGCUCAUUUUCUAAGGAAAUUGCUCAUCAGCCUCACACAACACUUCCUCAUACACUGCAUUAGCCCAAUUUAGUCAUAUGACCACACCUAUCUGCAAGGAAAGCUGAGAAAUGUUGUUCUUGUUCUCAGGGGAGAUGUAUGUGCCCAGCUAAAAAUAAGGUGUUCUGCCACCAAAGAAGAAGAGAAAGGGGAUAUUGAAGUUCAAGUGGUAAUCUUAGACAUAUAAAGCCAUCAAAAUUAUUUCCCCCCCAAACCCUUUUGAGAAACUGAGUGCGUAAAGAUAGAUUAUGACUGGGCACGUCAAACUUGUUUUAAAUAUACAAUUGGCCAGGCACAGUGGCUCACACCUGUAAUCCCAGCACUUUGGGAGGCCAAGGCGGGUGGAUCACCUGAGGUCAGGAGUUUGAGACCAGUCCGGCCAACAUGGCGAAACCCUCUCUCUACUAAAAAUACAAAAAUUAGCCGGGCAUGGUGGCAUGCCUGUAAUUCCCAGCUACUCAGGUGGGAGGCUGAGGCAGGAGAAUCUUUUGAAACUGGGAGGCAAAGGUUACAGUGAGUUGAGAUCACACCACUGCACUCCAGCCUGGGUAACAGGGUGAGACUCUGUCUCAAAAAAAAUAAAAUUAAAAAAUGAAAUAAAAAUACAAAUAAAUAUACUAUUUUUUUCAAAGGAUAGAAGGAGCAUUGUCUACGUUAAAUAAUGCAGAAGAUUUUAACUGAUUGCAGCCCAAUUUGUUUCCAUAUCCCCAGAGGCCAUCCCAACCCAGAGGCUUUCCCAUAGAACCGUGGGGAAAGAUCUCAAUUGUCUACACUCUGGCUCUGAGAUAAGGCAGCGCUCUCUCAGCCCUUUAAAGGGGGAGAAGGAUGUUAGUUCUAUUCCUUAGGCAAGAGGGCCUCACCUGUGGCCAUUCAACCCCAGGUUCUGCAAGAGUGAGAAGCAGAAAGCCUACUUUGCGUUGCCUCUACCUGAGGAGAAGAAGCCAGGUGUGCUCUCAGAUGGUCGGGGUAGUGCUUGGGAAGAUGUCGGGAGGACCGCGUAGAAAGCUGAGAGUGAGCUUCCCUUUGCUCACUGGCUUCUCAGCCAAAAACCGCUGGAGUGGAAGAGGGACAUUAUGGGCCUGCAGCAAACUCUCUCUCAACCUUCAGUUUCCCAAUGUAUAAAAUGAGUAUGAUGAAACUUGCCUCAUAGAUUCAUUACAAGGGUUGUUUAAAAAACAUUUACCAAAGUGCCCGCUGUAUACCUCCAUUUAAUGCAUGCAAGUUCCUUUCUCUUCUUCCUUUUGGAAUAACAUAACCUGAUUGUAAGAACAUGUUUCCACAAGACAACAUGAUGAGAAAUGUUUGGCAAGAUCUAGAAUUGCAGUAUGGUAGCCACUGACCACAUGUGGCCAUUAAGCACUCCAAAUGUGUCUAUUGUAACUAGGAACUGAACUUUUAAUUUUAUUUCAUCUUAAUUCAUUUAAACUUAAAUUUAAAACCUGCUGCUUGAUUAGAGUAUUGAAAAAUAUUUAAACGUAUUUGGAACAAUUUGGGUAUGUGAAUUUCCUCUUUCAACUAUAAAUCUUACAAAAUCUAAACACAGAUCGAGUAUUCCGAAUUAAAAUUUAACAUUCAAA